rnacentral:tRNA from 1 species
AAAAAGGUAAGCUAAAUAAAGCUAAUGGGUUCAUACCCCGUAAAUAGGAUUACCUCCUUUUUA